UUGUCUGUUGAACAUAAAUGUGGGGCAUC
rnacentral:piRNA from 1 species